GAUGAACGCUGGCGGCGUGCCUAAUACAUGCAAGUCGAGCGAACAGACGAGGAGCUUGCUCCUCUGACGUUAGCGGCGGACGGGUGAGUAACACGUGGAUAACCUACCUAUAAGACUGGGAUAACUUCGGGAAACCGGAGCUAAUACCGGAUAAUAUAUUGAACCGCAUGGUUCAAUAGUGAAAGACGGUUUUGCUGUCACUUAUAGAUGGAUCCGCGCCGCAUUAGCUAGUUGGUAAGGUAACGGCUUACCAAGGCAACGAUGCGUAGCCGACCUGAGAGGGUGUACGGCCACCCGGGAACGGAACCAGGUUCAGACCUCCUCGGGGGGGAGGCAUGAGGAACUCUUCCGAAAGGGGGGAAUCCCUAACGGGCAAGCGCGGGGGGAGAAAUAAUGUUUUUCGGAUCUAAAAACUUUUUUAUUGGGAAAAAAAAAAUGUGUAAGUACAAAUGCACUUCUUGAGGGUACCUAAUCAGAAGCCCACGGCAACGUAGGUC
rnacentral:rRNA from 1 species